rnacentral:rRNA from 1 species
GAUGAACGCUGGCGGCGUGCCUAAUACAUGCAAGUCGAGCGAACAGACGAGGAGCUUGCUCCUUUGACGUUAGCGGCGGACGGGUGAGUAACACGUAGGUAACCUACCUAUAAGACUGGGAUAACUUCGGGAAACCGGAGCUAAUACCGGAUAAUAUUUCGAACCGCAUGGUUCGAUAGUGAAAGAUGGCUUUGCUAUCACUUAUAGAUGGACCUGCGCCGUAUUAGCUAGUUGGUAAGGUAACGGCUUACCAAGGCAACGAUUCGUAGCCGACGUGAGAGGGUGAUAGGCCACAUGGGAAGUGAGACACGGUCCAGACUCCUACGGGAGGCAGCAGUAGGGAAUCUUCCGCAGUAGGCGAAAGCCUGACGGAGCAGCGCCGCGUGAGUGAUGAAGGUCUUCGGAUCGUAAAACUCUGUUACUAGGGAAGAACAAACGUGUAAGUAACUGUGCACGUCGUGACGGUACCUAAUCAGAAAGCCACGGCUAACUACGUG